GCAAAACUGACGUCUCUCAGAGUGGAUCACUACCUAGACGCCAGCUGCGAGAUUUUCUGAGUGUUGAUUGUCAUCUGAUUGUGAGCUAACUACAGCCCAAAGGCUCUUUUAAGAGCCACAAGCACUGAGGAUCUUUGGCUUUCCAACCUCAACCAAGAUGUCGGUUGAGCAGGAGAUGACAUUGCCU